rnacentral:rRNA from 1 species
UACGGAGGAUCCUAGUGUUAUCCGGAUUUAUUGGGUUUAAAGGGAGCGUAGGCGGGAGGUCAAGUCAGCUGUGAAAUGUAUCUGCUUAACGGGUACACUGCAGUUGAAACUGGUUUUCUUGAGUGCGUAAGAGGCAGGCGGAAAUCGUUGUGUAGCGGUGAAAUGCUUAGAUAUGACGAGGAACUCCUAUUGCGAAGGCAGCUUGCUGGGUCGUUACUGACGCUGAUGCUCGAAGGUGCGGGGAUCAAACAGGAUUAGAUACCCUGGUAGUCCGCACAGUAAACUAUGGAUACUCUCUGCCAGCGAUACAUUGUCGGUGGCCAAGCGAAAGCGUUAAGUAUCCCACCUGGGGAGUACGUUCGCAAGAAUGAA